rnacentral:lncRNA from 1 species
ACGCACCUUUUCAGCAUUUUUGAUACGGCACGAGAAAUCAUCAUUCAUGGCAUUUUGACGAAACAACUUAUGUGGUUUGAUAAUGUUAGGAGAUUACCCAAGAGGGUCCUAGUUUGGGUUCCUCCUCGGAGAAUGCGCAAAGGGCGUCCAUCGAGAGGAAGGAGGAAUUAGAUCGUGGCAGAAAUGUCAAGACACUCAAUUUUCGAAGGGUUAUAGUUGAAUAGAGGACAAUGGCGUCAGGUGUCUUAGAACGCCAGGGAGUGUUGUAAAGCCACAUGUUUACGUAUGCCAAUAGCGACCAUCAUUUAGUGUGUUACGAAUAUCCAGACUUGAGAUUUCAUAUCCAGUUUGUAUGACCUUAUGGCAGGUGUAUGGAGGGGCAGCAGAACCGUGAUCGGGAGAGAGGGUCGCAAGCAUCGAUGGCGAUGGACCUUCACUUGCCGGACUACCCGGUGACUCUGAGGAUCAAAGAUCGCACGAAACAGGACAAGAACCAAGGACCGUCCAAAUCGCCGAGCUUCCAGCGCCGCCAGCUGCUCAGGCGACAGACCCAAAUAGAACAUCACGAGGCGGACGGGUAUCAACAAGAAGGCUUGGAGUCUCGCUCCAUGCCUCACAGCCGACAGGAAUCCUUCGUCGCACGACUGUCCCCGCGCUCAAGCUUCGACGAUUCAGCCAGGAUGCGAAUCCUCGAGGCCCCACGAGACUCCAUUGCAGGGAUGGCGAAUCAGAAGUACAAAUACUCCCGCGCGAAAACCUUCGACGAGUCGUCGGCGGUGGGUUCGACGAAGGGACGACAAAAAGGCUCGGGGAAAAGACGGCAGAGACGCAAAUCGGACGACCGAAGGCGGUGCUCGAUCCCGACCCCAGAACCGACGACCCCCGUGAGCCCCCACCGGCGGAGAUCACCGGCCGCCUCCAGAGAGAUCUCGCCGGCCGUCUCCAGGAUGGACGCCUUGAAUCUCAAGGAGCAGUGUGAGCAACCACCCGGCAGCCCGGUGACCGUCAUCAACAUUCAGAGUCACACCAUGAUCCACCCCACAGCUCAAAGUACCGAUAAGACUGAUCAUAGCGCUAGCGUACAAGUCCAUGAAAAUCCCAGUGCCGCAAACUAAAUACCAUUGCCUCAUGAUACGCACUGAAAAAAAAGUCCGGCAUGUGGAAGUCAUACUUACGGGCUGCAUAGACAUACCGUUCACUUUCCAGGCUCAGAGGCCGAAAGUUCCGGAUGUGACAGCCGGAGCAGUUGAAGUUACGGCUCCAGCAACUUCCGGCCUCUGAGCCUGCGACCAACGGUAUGUCCGCACAGCCCGUAACUUUUUUUUCCAGUGCAGUGGGUCCGUUUCGCAAAUUCAAAUACCCUCACUUUUUUGGCAUUGUUGUGUUCAAGUGCGGUUUGUAUAUUCUAGCCUCAGAACAAUUUUAAAUAUUUCACAACCUUGUGAACUUCCUUGAAAUAUCUCACCGACAUUUCAAAUAUUUUCGAUCUUCCUCCUCUUUCAGAAUAUCUUGAGAAAGUUUUCUUACUCGAAAUGUUAAAAAAAAAAAAAAAUUUAGGUGUGGAAAAAGUUUAAUUUUGAAAUGUAAUUCGUAGUAAGAGGGAAACUUCAUACCUCAUUCAGAAAAUACGGCUAUUCUACUGUCAAAAUGAGAUUUUUUAAUGUUGUAAACUCUUGUCGCAUAUGCUCUGAAACCAAUCCUUAAAUGAUGAUGAAGGCCAGAAAAACUGAAAUUACCGAUGCCGCAUUCAGAAUUCAUCUGGGACUUAUGAAAGAGGCUGCUCAGGGAUUAUCUCGACAUGACUUAACCUCGCUUGCAUACCUCUGUCGUGCGCAUUACGAAUAUUAAUAUGCAGGCGCUGAGCUUCGGAAAUAACUCUCUCCAGAAAAGUGCAAAUUAGCAUUCUCCCGAUCACAAAUACGCUGGCACUAGCCCCUAUCAAGUGAAGACGAGCUCAGGUUGGCUAAGACAAUCUCAUCAUGGAGGGAAAGGGGGGGGGGAGAAAACUUCGUACUUCCCUUAACUCCUUUGGCUACGUGCCUGGACUGCUUAAGCGGUAUCUAUCGAUUGUUCAACUUGAAGGGAUUUGAUGAGACAACAGGAGAUGGCGAGACGAGGUUGGGUCUCCUCCUGGAGCGAAAAGGUCAUUCAUAAAUUACGUGAUAGAAUUUUCAUCUUUUCAAACCCUUCUCCUUUCGUGCGCAGCUAUGUCCAAGUCCUGAGGCAAACCCCCACCCGCAUCUCCCGACACACACAAAAAACGUAGCGAUCGGCCUUUGGUCUUAAUACAGAAUUUACAGGUGUCUGAAGUUUUGUGAAUUUCGUGUCGAAAAUGAAAUUGCUACAAGAACAGAGCACAAGGAUAUCCUCGGUUUCUAAAUUGAACAAUUAUUGGAGGAAAUAUGACAAAAUAACCUAAUCUACUAAAACACGUAUGUUUACAUGGAAAAUGCCGCCAGAUGACGUCACAAGGCGGCAAAUUGUCUCGCUCUUAAAUACAUUUUUCUACAAUUUCACACGAGAGAAAAAUAAUGUAAAAUAGAACUCAGCUCAUUAGGCACUCUCAGAUGAAGCAAUAAAAUUUGGGUGUGCAAAUUCUCCAUUCAGCAUCGCCAUUUUCUGAUGAAACAGUGGCAUAUAAUUUUUUCAGGGUUUUCGUAUAGUUUUUUUACAUACAAUUUUGUGAAACAACCAAAAAGUUCGUUAAAAGUUCAAAAAACCAUUCUCAAGGGAGAAAAAGCUAAUCAAAAUCCGAUCGAUAAAGAGCCGAAAGUCAAAUUGACGUGAUAGGAAGCAAAUUUCCGCGAGUGGAUUUGGUUGACUCUGUCGGCCAGAUCGGCAAGGCUGCAGCCCUCUAGAGAAUAACGCUCUGCUAAAAUCAGAAACUGAACUCAUUUCCUUGAGAAAUUGUGGCCAAAGUUUGCAUCCAUCCACUUUCUGACCCAUUUCGGGGCCCACCAUAAACCUCAUUAAUGAGCAAUGAGAUGAACAAUGAGAACUUUGCGCGGUUUUCAGCCUGGUGCCGGAUUCGGUUUGACUACCUUUCCCUCUAGAACCCUGACAUCAUUUACAGAGUGGCCCUACACGCCCUUGCGGAUUUUAGGAAAAUGGUGGAAAAUUACUUGUUGACCAAUGCUCAUCAAUUUGAAAUUAUAACCUCUACAAACAUGGAAACCGCUCCCGGCUCCCAUCCAAAAUUAGGCAUUCUUGGAUUCUUAAACCGACACUUCCGAAGCCAUAUCAUCAGUGAUGUUGAGUGAUUAUUGAGGAAUUCUUUCCGUUUGAAGUUCCGGUUGGCGCCUCUCUCUAAUUAAUUAGAGUGAAUGCUAUUCCGGUUAAGGUUUGCCAAGUGAGGGGAAAUCUUUUCUAACCCGUCGCGUAAAAUUCUUUAAAAGAAAGAUUUACAUCCGGCUGUCUGGCAAUGCUGUCCGGCUCCCCGCAUUCCAUGCGUUCCCUUCCCUCACCUCUUCAACUCCUUUGCAACUGUAAGCAAAGCUCCCUUCUUACUUCCCAAAACUCGUAUUGGGAUUGCCAGAUCGCUCCAGAAAUGUUUUAUUUUUUGGAACAUCCCAACCACAAAAUGUUAUAUCCGCCAAUAAUUUUGAAACGACAAAACUGAAUUGUACGACAAGAGCGCUGAAAAGCUUAAAUUACGAAUUUAACUUCCCUUUAAGAAGAUCACAAUAACAAGAGAAGUGGUAAAAAUUACCUGCAGUCAAAAGUAAUCGCAUGGAAAGGAACUAAAACUCUGUGAAAGCCGUGAAUGGUUCAGAUGCAACGUAUUUGGAUAACAUAAAACUUUAGUAGGCUGUCAUUUUUUUCAUACAUUCUUUUUCGGAUUUGAUGUUUAGACUUGGAGGUAUAUAUUAGGUUACCCUCGAUGAUUUUGGAAUAUUUUUAUAGGUUCACCACGAUAUGUUUGCUUAAUUUUAGUGAAAAUUAGAAAAUAGUCUUGUAACCAAAUAAUGCUCAAUGUGAUUCUUUUAAAUGUUAACGUAUUUUUAAGGCUACAGGGCUCGAGCAAUAAUUCGUAACAAUUCGAGUAAUAUAGAUAGGAAUGAUUUUAGUUGUGACGAACCUGCGAUGUUACUCAGUAGGAUCUUAGAAUUAGCAUAUCUGGAAAAUGAGUCAACUCAUAGACACGUUCUUGUUUUCCUUCUCUUUUUUUUAAAAAAAAACAACCCGUCAUUGAAUUAAUUUGUAAGGAAUAUAAAUCGAAAAGCCAUUUCACAUCCAUUAUGAAAUUAAUGUCGAGGUAGAGUAGAGUGAUGAAGGAUAAAGGAGGAAGUCUGCAAUACUGUUUCGGAACGAUGAGAGACUGAAAAAAUGGAAACAAAAAACUUGAUGUUGCUCGCCUGGUUUGGAAAAACCAGUGAAUGAAAAUUCCCUACAUAUUUCACACUUAUUCCAGCGAAAAAAUGCACGCUUUUCGGUACUGGCAGUAAAACCACAAAACCACAAAGCAGGAAGCAUGCCCAAAACAUUUGCUUAAAAAUGUUAAUGCAUGUUGUUUUUUAGGUAAGUGUUUAAUGGAAUGUUAGCUUGCUGUUUUUCAGUUUCAAUCAUUGUUUAAAAUAAUUAAUAUGUCCUCUGCAAAACUUAUAAUCGUUGAGUAAAUCCCAUUUACAAUUAGUUAACGCAACUCCUCGUAUAAAUUAAAUUCAAAGGAUAGCCUUUUUCCUUGAAUUUUAUACUCGUAAUAAUAUUUAUAUUCAUGUUAUUUUGGAAACAUUUUCGUUAGCGUAAUUUUUUUGAUGAAUUUUUAUAUUUUUAAAACCGUAUUCAACACUUAUUUUUAAAAUCAUUGCUUUUGGUUUAAUUACGAGUAUUCAAAAUAAUAUGUUACCUACAUUCAAGAUCGAUGUAAAUGGUUGCUUAUUACUUGUAGAAGAUUUUGCACACCAAGAAAUGACGCAAAUUUAGGAUGAUGAAGGUGACUAUUCAGAACCUCACAAACUGAAGAAUUUCACGUAAAAAGAAAAAUUUGCGUCUUUUGCUAUUCUUAUGAGCACAAUGACAAGAAAUUAAAAUGGUUUUAAAACAAAUUAUAUUAUCCCCACUGUAAUACACAUAAAAGGGCGUUAGCUAUAGGUGUACGUUUUAAUACUGCUUUCUUUGCUCUCCGAACAAUUGCUCGCAGUAAUCAGUAUACUGUUUGGUGGGGAAAAAGAAGGAGAUACGUGUUUUAAAAAAGUAGUAAAGCUCGGUGUUACAAAGGAAAUACUUUCUUUUAGUUUCAAAUUAUUUAAAGCUACACUAGUUUGUUUCCUCGUUAUCAGAGAUUUUCAACCACCUCGUUUCUAUUUUUCACGACAUUUAAAAAACAAUUAUAAAUUAAAUCCUAAAAGUGGAAAAAAAUCCUAAAAAAAUAAAAAACAUAAUCCUAAAAAUAUAUCCUAAUUUUUUUUAAAUCAGGUUCCUUUUUCAAUGUCAACACUCACAAGGUAUGAAUAAAAUUUUGUACCGACCUAUUCCGUGUUUAUUUCUUUCAAUAAUCAUAAGCAGUUAACCAGAAACCCAGAAUCUUAUAUUUUCCGCAUUAGUUUUUCCAGAACAUCCUUCAAAGCUGAAACAAUGUUAUAAAUGGUAACAAAACAAUAAUUUAGGAGUCAUUGCUAAACCGGAUGACAACUUGAAUGAAUUUGUCUUAAUCGGUGUGUGAAAAAAGAGUUUACAACAUAUGCA